rnacentral:rRNA from 1 species
GACGAACGCUGGCGGCGUGCCUAAUACAUGCAAGUAGAACGCACAGUUUAUACCGUAGCUUGCUACACCAUAGACUGUGAGUUGCGAACGGGAGAGUAACGCGUAGGUAACCUGCCUGGUAGCGGGGGAUAACUAUUGGAAACGAUAGCUAAUACCGCAUAAUAUUAAUUAUUGCAUGAUAAUUAAUUGAAAGGUGCAAUUGCACCACUACCAGAUGGACCUGCGUUGUAUUAGCUAGUAGGUGAGGUAACGGCCCAACUAGGCGACGAUACAUAGCCGACCUGGGGAGGGGGUCGGCCAACCUGGGACUGGGACCCGGCCCCGACUUCUUCCGGGGGCCGCAGUAGGGAAACCUCCGCAAUGGACGAAAGUCUGACCGGACAACGCCGCGUGAGUGGAGGAGGGUUUCGGAUCGUAAAGCUCUGUUGUAAGGGAAGAACGGGUGUGGGAGUGGAAAGUUCGCACUGUGACGGUAUCUUACCAGAAAGCGACGGCUAACUACGUG